rnacentral:rRNA from 1 species
GGAUGAACGCUGGCGGCGUGCCUAAUACAUGCAAGUCGAGCGAACAGACGAGGAGCUUGCUCCUCUGACGUUCGCGGCGGACGGGUGAGUAACACGUGGAUAACCUACCUAUAAGACUGGGAUAACUUCGGGAAACCGGAGCUAAUACCGGAUAAUAUAUUGAACCGCAUGGUUCAAUAGUGAAAGACGGUUUUGCUGUCACUUAUAGAUGGAUCCGCGCCGCAUUAGCUAGUUGGUAAGGUAACGGCUUACCAAGGCAACGAUGCGUAGCCGACCUGAGAGGGUGAUCGGCCACACUGGAACUGAGACACGGUCCAGACUCCUACGGGAGGCAGCAGUAGGGAAUCUUCCGCAAUGGGCGAAAGCCUGACGGAGCAACGCCGCGUGAGCGAUGAAGGUCUUCGGAUCGUAAAACUCUGUUAUUAGGGAAGAACAAAUGUGUAAGUAACUAUGCACGUCUUGACGGUACCUAAUCAGAAAGCCACGGCUAACUACGUG